rnacentral:rRNA from 1 species
AUGACGAAGAAAAAUAAGACCUACUAUCUGUUGGAUGGGGAGGAAGAGCCUACGAGGCAUAUACACGGCAACUGUAUUGCCAAGGUGAUGUUCUUGACGGCUGUUGCUAGGCCAAGGUGGGACAGUGAAGGAAACGUGACCUUCUCUGGGAAAACCGGUAUCUGGCCAUUCGUGAAAGAAGUUCCUGCUCAGAGGAGAAGUGAUAACAGGCCUAGAGGUACAAUAGAGACAAAGUCAAUAAAGGUCGAUAGAAAAGUGAUGAGGGAGUUCCUGAUAGAGAAAGUCUUGCCAGCGAUACAGGCCGUUUGGCUCGAAAGUAAUGCUGGACAGGCCAUCUACAUUCAGCAGGAUAAUGCUAAGCCCCAUAUCUUGCCAGAUGACCCAGAAUUUCUAGCCGCUGUCGCAAAAACUGGACUUGACAUCAGAAUAAUACAACAGCCCGCCAACAGUCCUGAUCUGAAUGUGCUUGACCUCGGUUUUUUCAACUCGCUGCAAUCCCUAACAGAUUGUCUGAGUCCUAAAACACUACAAGUCCUUAUUAAGGGUGUUUUGGAGGAAUUUGAAGGCUAUGAGGUUUACAAGCUCAACAGAAUUUUCCUAACUCUGCAGACAUGCAUGAUUGAGAUCCUGAACCAUGCAGGGGGCAAUGAGUAUAAAACACCACAUGUGAACAAAGAAAGGCUUGAGGGUCUUGGGCAGCUACCUCCAAGACUAUCAUGCCCUCGAGAGGUUUACACAAACGCCCUACACAAUCUAGAGCUAAUGGAAAGGGUUCAGUAA